UCCUCUUCCCACUUGGAGCCGGUCUCCAGGGCAGAUCUUCCGGGCUGCACGCGCUGUGUGAGAAAUUAGAAAAAUCUUACAAUAAAAACCGAAAAAAAAAGAUGCGAAAAAAAUUACAGUGUCAACAACUUUAACAAUGACAGCUGUCUGGCUUCUCAGCGCAAACGCACACGUUCCCUUCGCUGGAAGUCAAAGAAAGACGGCGAAAGUCGAACAGAUCAUUCAUGGAAACUCACCUUCUAUAUUAAAAAUGUCACUGCAACUACAACGCAAGGUAAUGACCGAAAGAAUAAGGUCGCAAAUAGAAGAGGUGGAGUGUCUGGUUUGGGUGUCUGGUUUUACACUCCUGGAGAGGAUGAGAAGCUUGUCUAUCUGGGAGGGAUUCUGAGUAGAGUCGCUGCUUCUUGGAAUUGAACAGAGCCAGCUGAGGUUGUUCGGGCGUCUGGUGAGGAUGCCCCAUGGUCGUCUCCGUAGGGAGGUCUUCCAGGCAUGCCCAACUGGGUGGAGGACCUGGGGGAAGACCCAGGACAUGCUGGAAGGAUUAUAUUUUCUAUCUGGUUUAGGAAUGCCUUGAGAUCCCCCAGGAGGGUUAUAGGACUUGGGAUGAGCUGCUUUGUCUACUACCACUGCAACCUGGACCCCAGUAAGCAGCAAAAAAAUGAAUGAAUGAAUUAACUGUGAUAUGGUUUGAUGUUUCCAGGAAAAUAAAUAAAACAUAAUGCAGUACUAUGCGAGUAUCAUUCCCCUUGUUUGUGAAAACCUUAUUGGUUUUCGUGCCCCCAGUUUUGCCAAACCCACAGCCGGUCUUCAGUCUGCGGCUUGUGGACCCAUGAAAUAACAUCAGAGGGUAAUAGUGUCCACAUAGCACAGUGUGGGGAAAUCUCAUAAAGCUACAAAUUUAAAAAAAUGGGGUCAUGCUGGGGCAUCUGAAAAGACACUAUAGCAUGGGAGGAGUAACAGCAGUGACCACUCGCUGUGGUUCAGACAGCACUCACGAUCUACACUUAUGAAACCAAUCACACACAGACAUGAACGUAGAAUGUCCAGAUAUGUGUGUAAGGGAGAAAAAAAAAUGGUUGUGAGCAAAAGAAAUAAAUAUAACUUGGAUUUGCAUCACUUCAAACAGUAAUGUGUACACAGAUUUCAGUGGUGCAUAUCUGACAUACAAAUAUUAAAAAAAUGUCUGAUUUGGCAUCUCCACACUCCCAGUUUGUCACAUGUUGUCACAGGGGGAGUGCAAGAGAGAGAUUUGAGUCACUUCAACUGGGAAUGUGAAUGUAGCCGAGCAAAAUGGUUGGAUUGAUUAACUACAAGAUUCACAGGUCAGGUCUGGAACCAUGUUUUAGUUCUGUGCAUUGCAGCAUCUACCACACUACAUACCGUAACUGUCCUGGGUCCUGGUUGGCAACCACCCAAGCAGACAUAUGGUGCGUCGCCACGUCCCAAAAUGAGCCAUCUCUCUGCUGCAGCCAUGUGAGUGUCCCAUUGGCCUUUUGCAGUUAUUGAGGUCCCCAGCAUCGAGGCACCUGAGCAUUAACAGCAUGCUCAGGGAAGCGUGGCACAUGGCUGUAGUGUCAUAACUGACAUUCCUCACAUUGCAAGUAGUCGAUCUCAUCCGAGUCUCCCUAAGUAACCAUUUGUUUGACACAAAGUUAUUCCAGCGGCACCCAAAGAUUCUCUGGAGAAACGUAGUCAGUGCCAGAGACAUCCAGCUGUCAGGGUAUGUACGUAUGUGCAUCAGUUGAUGUAUCAAGAAAGUUUUAUUUGUAAAAAAAAAAAAAA